rnacentral:tRNA from 3 species
GGGCCGUUAACUCAGUUGGCAGAGUAUCUCCCUUUUAAGGAGAGAGUCGCUGGUUCGAGCCCAGCACGGCCCACCA